UUAAACCAUUUUUCGACUAUUAAUAAAUGCUUAAUUAUUUUGUUAUGUGCCCACCGGCACGGAUUGUAUCUACUGUGUCGUAUCUUACUAAUAAGAUAUCGGUAUAUAUAGUUCUCGUGCUAAUUGUACAGCUCAAAAUUUUUUAUUCUUUAAAUUAAUAAGUAAUUUUUUUAAUAAAUUUUAAAAGAUUUGAUACAGAUUACAUAUUAAACAGUUAGAAUAUUUUGUUCUUAAAGAAAAUUAAUAUUUCAUGCCACUAUGUGUUGGCGCAUAUGUAUUUUUUUUACAAUCGAUACGCAUUGGUACGUAUCGUGCCGUAUCGUGACAAUAAGUUUUGGCACGUUUCCGUGCCACGGUACUUAAAUCCUUACUUAAUAUGUAAUAUUUACUACUGCCAAUUAAUGUUUUUUAAUGAAGCUGUGAAUAAUUUCUGUUUAAAAGAAAAAAAAAAUCGAGAGAGUAAUAUAAAAAUUAAUAAGAAAAUUGAUAAUUUAAGGCCUCAUUUGGUAUCACGUUUAUUUUUAUUUUUAAAAAUAAAUUUACAUGUCAAAAGUGUAAGAGUGGACAGUAGAUUAAUGCAAUCAUUUCUGACUAUCUUUUAAACAAGAUAGCAUUAUAAUUACCUCUUGACCGGAUAUAUUGUAAGCUAUUAACUAUAAUAAUAAAAUAUAUAUAUAUAUAUAUAUAUAUUGAAAAAUUAUUAGAAUAAUAGCAUAUGAGAAUUAAGUAAAAUAAAGGUAAAAUUACAGAAAACCCUCUAUAAAUAUCUGUCUUUUCACUUUCUCUUUCUUAUCUUAAAAAAUCUAUAUUUUGUCCAUUUAAAAUUUCAAAAAUAUUUUUAGAGAGGUACGGCAUUGAGAGUGCAAAAUGACUAAAUUGUCCUUACUUUUCAUAUGGAAAAAAAAUAAAUUUUUAAUAUAUUUCUAUCAUUUUGAAAGAUAUUUUUGGUAUAAAUUAUAAGAAAUGGAUGGGAUAGUGAUGAGGGCUAAAUGCAAUAAUUUAAAAUGUUGAGACGAUAAAAUAUAAAUUUUUGAAAGUUAGGAAAGCAAAAUGAAAAAGAGGAUAUUUAUAAGAAGGUUUUCUAUAAUUUAGCCUAAAAUAAAAAUAUUUUCCAAAGAAAAAAAAUGUAGCGAACAAAUAAAAUAAUCUAACAAAAAAAUUAAAA
rnacentral:lncRNA from 1 species